rnacentral:rRNA from 1 species
UACGUAGGGUGCAAGCGUUUAAUCGGAAUUACUGGGCGUAAAGCGUGCGCAGGCGGUUUUGUAAGUCUGUCGUGAAAUCCCCGGGCUCAACCUGGGAAUUGCGAUGGAGACUGCAAGGCUAGAAUCUGGCAGAGGGGGGUAGAAUUCCACGUGUAGCAGUGAAAUGCGUAGAGAUGUGGAGGAACACCGAUGGCGAAGGCAGCCCCCCUGGGUUAACACUGACGCUCAGGCACGAAAGGCGUGGGGAGCAAACAGG